UGUGAGCCCAGCGUAGUGACAGUCUAUAUAUUAUACUAUCCGCCCCCGGCUCGGGACCCCCAGAAAUAGCUCUAUGUGAGCCCAGCGUAGUGACAGUCUAUAUAUUAUACUAUCCGCCCCCGGCUCGGGACCCCCAGAAAUAGCUCUAUGUGAGCCCAGCGUAGUGACAGUCUAUAUAUUAUACUAUCCGCCCCCGGCUUGGGACCCCCAGAAAUAGCUCUAUGUGAGCCCAGCGUAGUGACAGUCUAUAUAUUAUACUAUCCGCCCCCGGCUCGGGACCCCCAGAAAUAGCUCUAUGUGAGCCCAGCGUAGUGACAGUCUAUAUAUUAUACUAUCCG